rnacentral:snRNA from 1 species
GUGGGUUAUGGAAAUCAUAUAUACUAAAACUGGAACAUUACAGAGAAAAUUAGCAUACAUGGCUCCUGUGCAAGGAUGCCAAGGAAAUUUGUGACGCGCUCCAUAUUUUG